ncrna:unclassified sequences PhotoRC-II RNA
UUAGUGAGUUGAACACCCCUUCAACCGAGACCUAUAGGGUGUCUAAAUCACGUCUCUCAUACCUUUCUCUGAGGGUGAGAAAGGAAUAUUUUACCGA